rnacentral:rRNA from 1 species
GCGAACGCUGGCGGCAGGCCUAACCCAUGCAAGUCGAACGGACCCUUCGGGGUUAGUGGCGGACGGGUGAGUAACACGUGGGAACGUGCCUUUAGGUUCGGAAUAGCUCCUGGAAACGGGUGGUAAUGCCGAAUGUGCCCUUCGGGGGAAAGAUUUAUCGCCUUUAGAGCGGCCCGCGUCUGAUUAGCUAGUUGGUGAGGUAACGGCUCACCAAGGCGACGAUCAGUAGCUGGUCUGAGAGGAUGACCAGCCACACUGGGACUGAGACACGGCCCAGACUCCUACGGGAGGCAGCAGUGGGGAAUCUUGCGCAAUGGGCGAAAGCCUGACGCAGCCAUGCCGCGUGAAUGAUGAAGGUCUUAGGAUUGUAAAAUUCUUUCACCGGGGACGAUAAUGACGGUACCCGGAGAAGAAGCCCCGGCUAACUUCGUG